CCUACGGGCGGCAGCAGUGGGGAAUAUUGGGCAAUGGACGCAAGUCUGACCCAGCAACGCCGCGUGAAGGAAGAAGGCUUUCGGGUUGUAAACUUCUUUUAAGGGGGAAGAGCAGAAGACGGUACCCCUUGAAUAAGCCACGGCUAACUACGUGCCAGCAGCCUCGGUAAUACGUAGGUGGCAAGCGUUGUCCGGAUUUACUGGGUGUAAAGGGCGUGCAGCCGGAGAGACAAGUCAGAGGUGAAAUCCGCAGGCGCAACCUGCGAACUGCAUUGGAAACGGUUUCCCUUGGGUAGCGGGGAGGUCAUCGGAAGUCCUGGGGUAGCGGUGAAAGGCGUAGAAAUUAGGAAGAACACCAGUGGCGAGGGCGGAGGACUGGACGACAACUGACGGUGGGGCGCGAAGGCGUGGGGAGCAAACAGGAUUAGAUACCCAGUAGUC
rnacentral:rRNA from 1 species